UGGGGAAUCUUCCGCAAUGGACGAAAGUCUGACGGAGCAACGCCGCGUGUAUGAUGAAGGUCUUCGGAUUGUAAAGUACUGUCAUUGGGGAAGAACGGUUUUCUUGAGAAUAUUGAGAAGACAUGACGGUACCCAAGGAGGAAGCCCCGGCUAACUACGUGCCAGCAGCCGCGGUAAUACGUAGGGGGCAAGCGUUGUCCGGAAUUAUUGGGCGUAAAGGGCGCGUAGGCGGGCCUUUAAGUCCGGUGUGAAAGAUCAGGGCUCAACCCUGAGAGUGCAUCGGAAACUGGAGGCCUUGAGGACAGGAGAGGAAAGUGGAAUUCCACGUGUAGCGGUGAAAUGCGUAGAUAUGUGGAGGAACACCAGUGGCGAAGGCGACUUUCUGGACUGUAACUGACGCUGAGGCGACGAAAGCGUGGGGAGCAAAACAGGAUUAGAUACCCUGGUAGUCCACGCCCGUAAAACGAUGAGUGCUAGGUGUAGAGGGUAUCGACCCCUUCUGUGCCGCAGUUAACACAAUAAGGCACUCCCGCCUGGGGAGUACGGCCNCAAGGUUUGAAACUCAAAAUGAAUUAACGGGGGUCAUAGCUAGGUUUUU
rnacentral:rRNA from 1 species